rnacentral:rRNA from 1 species
UGAACGCUAGCGACAGGCUUAACACAUGCAAGUCGAGGGGCAGCGGGGGUGGAGCUUGCUCCACCCGCCGGCGACCGGCGCACGGGUGAGUAACACGUAUGGAACCUGCCCUGCACAGGGGGAUAAGCGAAAGAAAUUUCGUCUAAUACCGCAUAACACCGCCGAGAGGCAUCUCUUGGCAGUCAAAGGGAGCAAUCCCGGUGCAGGAUGGCCAUGCGGCGCAUUAGCUGGUUGGCGGGGUAACGGCCCACCAAGGCGACGAUGCGUAGGGGUUCUGAGAGGAAGGUCCCCCACACUGGUACUGAGACACGGACCAGACUCCUACGGGAGGCAGCAGUGAGGAAUAUUGGUCAAUGGGCGGAAGCCUGAACCAGCCAAGUCGCGUGAGGGAAGACGGUCCUAUGGAUUGUAAACCUCUUUUGCAGGGUGAGCAAAGCCGGCCUCGUGAGACCGGAAGGAGAGUACCCUGAGAAAAAGCAUCGGCUAACUCCGUGCCAGCAGCCGCGGUAAUACGGAGGAUGCGAGCGUUAUCCGGAUUUAUUGGGUUUAAAGGGUGCGCAGGCGGAGCGUUAAGUCAGCGGUAAAAAUGCGGGGCUCAACCCCGUACGGCCGUUGAAACUGACGCCCUUGUAGUGAGCGAGAAGUAUGCGGAAUGCGUGGUGUAGCGGUGAAAUGCAUAGAUAUCACGCAGAACUCCGAUUGCGAAGGCAGCAUACCGGCGCUCAACUGACGCUCAGGCACGAAAGCGUGGGUAUCAAACAGGCUUAGAUACCCUGGUAGUCCACGCAGUAAACGAUGAAUGCUAACUGUCCGGGGCGAUUAAGUCCUGGGUGGUACAGCGAAAGCGUUAAGCAUUCCACCUGGGGAGUACGCCGGCAACGGUGAAACUCAAAGGAAUUGACGGGGGCCCGCACAAGCGGAGGAACAUGUGGUUUAAUUCGAUGAUACGCGAGGAACCUUACCCGGGCUCAAACGCACAGUGACUGUCUGUGAAAGCAGAUUUUCCCUUCGGGGACAGUGUGCGAGGUGCUGCAUGGUUGUCGUCAGACUCGUGCCGUGAGGUGUCGGCUUAAGUGCCAUAACGAGCGCAACCCCUAUCGACAGUUGCUAACAGGUGAAGCUGAGGACUCUGUCGAGACUGCCGGCGCAAGCUGUGAGGAAGGCGGGGAUGACGUCAAAUCAGCACGGCCCUUACGUCCGGGGCGACACACGUGUUACAAUGGCAGGUACAGCGGGAAGCCAUGCGGCGACGCAGAGCAGAACCCGAAAACCUGUCUCAGUUCGGAUUGGAGUCUGCAACCCGACUCCAUGAAGCUGGAUUCGCUAGUAAUCGCGCAUCAGCCACGGCGCGGUGAAUACGUUCCCGGGCCUUGUACACACCGCCCGUCAAGCCAUGGAAGCCGGGAGUGCCUGAAGUACGCGACCGCAAGGAGCGUCCUAAGGUAAAACCGGUGACUGGGGC